rnacentral:rRNA from 1 species
AUUGAACGCUGGCGGCAGGCCUAACACAUGCAAGUCGAACGAGUGGCGGACGGGUGAGUAAUGUCUGGGAAAGUGCCUGAUGGAGGGGGAUAACUACUGGAAACGGUAGCUACUACCGCAUCGCAUCGGAUGUGCCCAGAUGGGAUGAGCUAGUGGGUGGGGUAACGGCUCACCUAGGCGACGAUCCCUAGCUGGGCGGAGAGGCUGACCGGCCACACUGGAACUGAGACACGGGCCAGACUCCUACGGGAGGCAGCAGUGGGGAAUAUUGCGCAAUGGGCGCAAGCCUGAUGCAGCCAUGCCGCGUGUAUGAAGAAGGCCUUCGGGUUGUAAAGUACGUUCAUCGGGGAGGCGGUACUCGCAGAAGAAGCACCGGCUAACUCCGUGCCAGCAGCCGCGGUAAUUC